rnacentral:misc_RNA from 1 species
GAUGAAGAACGCAGCAAAAUGCGAUAAGUAAUGUGAAUUGCAGAAUUCAAUGAAUCAUCGAAUCUUUGAACGCACAUUGCGCCCGCCAGUAUUCUGGCGGGCAUGCCUGUUCGAGCGUCAUUUCAACCAUCAAGCCCCCGGGCUUGUGUUGGGGACCUGCGGCUGCCGCAGGCCCUGAAAAGCAGUGGCGGGCUCGCUGUCACACCGAGCGUAGUAGAUUUUAUCUCGCUCUGGGCGUGCUGCGGGUUCCGGCCGUUAAACCACCCUUUUAACCCAAGGUUGACCUCGGAUCAGGUAGGAAGACCCGCUGAACUUAAGCAUAUCAAUAAGCGGAGGA